rnacentral:miRNA from 1 species
CCAUAUAAUAGUUUUGUUUGUGGAAACACCACGUAAAUUUAUUACUGGUAAAUUUAUUAAUUUACGUGGUGUUUCCACAAACAAAACUAUUAUAUGUUU